AACGAACGCUGGCGGCGUGCCUAACACAUGCAAGUCGAACGUGAUUGAAGAGCUUGCUCUUCAUGAAAGUGGCGCACGGGUGAGUAACGCGUAGAUAAUCUACCUGGUGAUUUGGGAUAACAGUUCGAAAGGACUGCUAAUACCGAAUAAGCCCACGGAGCCUUUGGAUUCUGCGGGAAAAGGGGGGGACCUUAUGGCCUUCCGUCAUCAGAUGAGUCUGCGUACCAUUAGCAAGUUGGUAGGGGAAAGGCCUACCAAGGCGACGAUGGUUAGCUGGGCUGAGAGGAUGAUCAGCCACACUGGAACUGAGACACGUUCCAGACUCCUACGGGAGGCAGCAGUGGGGAAUUUUGCGCAAUGGGGGAAACCCUGACGCAGCAACGCCGCGUGAGUGAUGAAGGCCCUUGGGUCGUAAAGCUCUGACAGAGGGAAAGAAAUGCAGGGGAGCUAAUAUCUCCUUUGCUUGACGGUACCCUCAAAGGAAGCACCGGCUAACUCCGUGCCAGCAGCCGCCGUAACAC
rnacentral:rRNA from 1 species